UACGUAGGGAGCAAGCGUUGUCCGGAAUCAUUGGGCGUAAAGCGCGCGUAGGCGGCCCUGUAAGUCCGUUGUGAAAGUCAAAGGCUCAACCUUUGAAAGCCGAUGGAUACUGCAGGGCUAGAGUCCGGAAGAGGCGAGUGGAAUUCCUGGUGUAGCAGUGAAAUGCGUAGAGAUCAUGAGGAAGACCAGUGGCGAAGGCGGGUCUCUGGACAGUUCCUGACACUGAGACACGAAGGCCAGGGGAGCAAACGGG
rnacentral:rRNA from 1 species